AGAUAUGAAGAGUUUCUCUUACCCUUAGAGAACGACAAACAAAGAGGACAAGUUCAUCAGUGAGGCAGAUUUAAGAUUGUAUAUAUUGGUGCAAAUUGAUCAAGCUCGAGAAAAUGAGAAAACUUAGGAAUGGAAAAAACAUAGUAUACUCCUACAAGGUAACACGACAAGAGAUACAUCAAGUUUAAUAUGGUCAUGAGGAAGAAGAACAUAACAUACACAUCCAAAUACUUUUAAGAUAAGAGCAGAAAGGGGGAGUACGAUAUAAUCAUUCAAAGGAAAAGAUAUUCUGAAGGACAGAGGUGGGAAAACGAUAGAUGACAGAUGGUAUAGACAGAGGUAAGAGCAACCUCACAUCAAAUUUUUUAUUUUUGGAUGAGAUGCAGAAUAAAGUUAGAUGCAAAAAUAAAUCCAAAAUGUGGUGGUAUUUCGUUCUAUUCACCAUUUUUGAGGCAUGAGGACAAAAGCAUUAAAUAAGAGUACCCUGUUGAGUGAAAAAUGAAAGAAGAAUGAACUCAUUAUACUCUAUGACAUUAUUAGUGCAUAGAACUUUAGUGGUCUGAUAAAACUGAGUUUGAGUCGUAUUAACAAAAUCAAUAUAAAUUUGAAAUAAAUGAGUUCCUUCAGUUUCUGUCCAACGAAGAAGACGUCACAGCCCACGCCUGCCGUCAUCCAUCACACUGUUGCCCACCAACACUGUCACUUCGUCCCGCCAUCUCCAAUUGGCGGGCGUAAUCGGUAAGUUUCUUUUUUGUUUCCCAUCUCUCUCUCUCUCUCUCAUUUGCCACUCAUCACUGCUACCGUCGCCACGGUCUCCGUAGAAUUUCCAUUUAGUUCAGUGGGUAGGUUCCAAGCUUUUAGGAGAUUGGAGUCACUGUCCAGCAAGAGAAACGAACAUUUUAGUACGUUUUGGUUCAAAUCAUUGUGUGAAGGUUUGAAGUUGUUUCAGAUCCAAGAACAAUUUUUGGUCAUUCUUCAAGAUUUUGGAAUGAACUUACAGCAGUGAUGACAAUUUUGGAUCUAACCUCGUGGAGUUUAUGCUUUAGGAUUGGACCAAUAGGUCAAAAGGCAAUGAAAUUUGUUUUCAACAACAGUCGGGUAUGAAUUUUGAGGUAAGUGGAUUAUUUUCAACGAUAGUUGGGUAUCAAUUUCUAGUAAUGCCACUAUAGUAGGUAAAAUAAAAUAUUAUUUAUUUUGGCUUUACCAAGUAGUUUUAGAAAAGCUCGCAUGUUUUUUUGUUUUUUAAAAAAAUGAAUGAUGAGAUUUUAUGAGCAUGCUAAGAUUUUUUUUGUGAAUUAUUAUGAUAUGGCCCGUUAUUAAAUGUUGCAUGUUAGAUCAAUUUAUUGGUUAUGACCCUCCUACCACUAGCUAUAUACAUUAUAUUUGUUUGCCUUUUAAGUCUAAUAGAUAAGUAUCGUUGUGCCUCCUUAUGUUCCUAUGCCUUGGGAUCCAUCAGAUAAGUUUGUUUGUGCAUAUUGGGUUUCACUAAAUAAAUAUGAGUACAUCUCACUUAGGGUAGGGUGAGUUAAAUGUUUUUGACAAUGUUUUAUUUAUUUAGAAAAUUUAAUUUAAGUCUUAAAUGGUCAACUAGAAUUAGUUUUGAAAUUACAUGCAUGUAAUAAUGACCCCAAUUAGAGGCCUCGAAAAGUCAAGUUGGAAUAGUAUAUCAUCUAUAGAGGAUAACAUAGAAAAAGACAAAGUAGGUUGUUUCUCCAAGUUUACAAUUCAAAUAAUCAAAGGAUGAAAUUUGGAAACAUUAUUUAAAUUGCUAACAUAAACUAAAAGACCAAGUUUUCAAAAAAAACAUGACCAAGACGAAGGUGUCACUAAUAUAAAGUAGAAUCAGUGUAAAAGCAUAAGUAAAUGGAAAAAUAAGGAGUUGAUGUGAAGUAAGCUCAAACAAUCUUUCUACUUUGCGAACAAUACGAACUGUAUGUGUCAUUUACAAAUCCGGAACUGAACGACUAAGAAAGAAACAAACAAUCAGGUGAAGAUCACAUAAUUUUGAAAUGAAGGCAAGAUUAAGAGUUAGAUUUGAUACAUAAUAGGUAUUAGGAAGAUUUAAUAUAGAUUUGUCUAUUGUGCCAAUAUGAGAAAUUGACAUACAAAUUUCAUGCGCAACAUGAAUGGGAGGAAUGGAUUUUGUAGGGGUGGCUAAAAACAUAAAAGAAGAAUACCAGAUGUCAUGUGAUUGCAAUAAGCUGAGUUGAGAAUUCAUGAAUUACUUGGUGAGACCGCAAGAGCAAAAGAUUUAGAUUCGAUCACCUGUUUUAAUACAUCCUGGAGAUCAUUGAUCUAAAUUGGAAGAAGUGGGGUAAUUCGAAGGGGUGACAACAACAACAUAUGAGGAACCAGCCUUUAGAAAAGUUCAUUGAUUUUGUAGAGUGAUGUGGAAAGCGAGGUGGUUGAGUUGGAUGAUUGUCCAAGAUAUAUCCAAGUUUGUGAAACCUCUAUAAUAUCUAACAAGUCGAGUCUUAUGUGGGUCAUAUGCACUCAAAUUAGAAUAAUCAGCAAACUUAUGAUCAUGAAGCUUAUAGUUCUUGCAAAGGACAAUCAACAAACCCAAAAGUGUUGUAUGGAUGAGUCGGUUGUGAGAACAACUUCAUAUGGUAGGGAGGAGACUAUGCCAAGCCAUUUUUCCUCAAAUAGAAUUUCAUGAGUCGUUGUAUCCAAUAAGGGUUAAGGAUUGCAAUGUAGCAAGGCAGCUCGAAUUAGCUAAUAUUUCAUACAAAGUCCUAUAAGAACCUUAACGAAACAAAGAUGAUCUUAACUAAUUUUAGCAUCAUCAAGUUGAGUCCAAAUAGGUUCAAGAGUAGGGAGAUAUUCACUGACAGAUUCCAAUAUUGUGUUGAAGAUCUUUAGUAUUAUAAAAGGCACCAAUUUAAACAUGAAUGCCACAAAUAGAAGUGUUACCUGAUAGCACCAAAAAAAUUGCUAUCUGGCUCCUCUUAAUAUAUGAUUAUUGUUGUGUUUAAUGUAUUUAUUUAGAGCUUUUAUAGGUAUCAAGCACUCAGGAGGUAGAAUUGGCAGUUACAGACUGUUCGAUAUUAAUUUGGAGAAAUUAGAAGCUAAAAAGAGCAUCUGGGGAUUCAAGGAAGAUAAAAUGACCAAAAUGGCUAUGGGAGAGCAACAUAGCAACGCAGUGGCACUGUGCCUCACACUUUUCCCUAAGAGCACAAGUUUUGGGGAAAAUGCAGGCAGCGCUGCGACGCACCCCUGUGGCGUUGCGACGCUACAUUGGCGUUCGGUAGAGUGAAGGGUUGUGCGCCAGGUGUGGCACGUAAAGAUGCUCGAGCACAUCAUGACAUAGCUAUGCUUCGACAAGUAGCCUUCUAGGGCAAGAGUGCUGCGGGCCUACGCUGUUUUUAUAAAUAGCGACUAUUCAUUUUUAGGUAAGAAGAAUGGGAGAGUUAGGUCGAUUUUGAGAUCUCUAAGCUCGACUUUGACCAUUCUUGGCAAAAACACAUGAGAUUUCUUUGUAUUUUGAGGUUUAUUUGUAUAUUUUGGUAUCGGGAUUCAAAUUCGAUGAACAGUUGAAGGCCCAAACAUCGAUUUUGAGUUUUAUUGGAC